rnacentral:rRNA from 1 species
GUAGGUGGCAAGCGUUGUCCGGAAUUAUUGGGCGUAAAGCGCGCGCAGGCGGUUCUUUAAGUCUGAUGUGAAAGCCCACGGCUCAACCGUGGAGGGUCAUUGGAAACUGGAGAACUUGAGUACAGAAGAGGAAAGCGGAAUUCCACGUGUAGCGGUGAAAUGCGUAGAGAUGUGGAGGAACACUAGUGGCGAAGGCGGCUUUCUGGUCUGUAACUGACGCUGAGGCGCGAAAGCGUGGGGAGCAAACAGGAUUAGAUACCCUGGUAGUCCACGCCGUAAACGAUGAGUGCUAAGUGUUAGGGGGGUUUCCGCCCCCCUUAGUGCUGCAGCUAACGCAUUAAGCACUCCGCCUGGGAGUACGACCGCAAGGUUG